rnacentral:lncRNA from 1 species
UUCAAGACAUUUUUUUUCUUUGUCAUCUCCUAUGUUUUGAUUUUGUGAUUUUUGAGCUGCAACUUUUGUGUAAAGGAAGGUAUUUUCUACGAGAUCGGACAAUCUAUUUACUGUUUUGCUUAAGAACUUAAUUAAUUUCAUCAUCUAGAGCUUCUCUCGUGGCGAUCAAUCAAACAGAAGAACUCACCCCCAAUACGAGCAAGAACGAUC